rnacentral:rRNA from 1 species
AACGAACGCUGGCGGCAUGCCUAACACAUGCAAGUCGAACGAAGGCUUCGGCCUUAGUGGCGCACGGGUGAGUAACGCGUAGGAAACUGCCUAUUGGUGGGGAAUAACGACGGGAAACUGUCGCUAAUACCGCAUAAGCCCUUCGGGGGAAAGAUUUAUCGCCGAUAGAUGUGCCCGCGUCCGAUUAGCUAGUUGGUGAGGUAAUGGCUCACCAAGGCGACGAUCGGUAGCUGGUCUGAGAGGAUGAUCAGCCACACUGGGACUGAGACACGGCCCAGACUCCUACGGGAGGCAGCAGUGGGGAAUAUUGGACAAUGGGCGAAAGCUUGAUCCAGCAAUGCCGCGUGAGUGAUGAAGGCCUUAGGGUUGUAAAGCUCUUUCGGGUGGGACGAUGAUGACGGUACCACCAGAAGAAGCCCCGGCUAACUUCGUGCCAGCCGCCGCAGUAA